rnacentral:rRNA from 1 species
UUGUGGAGAGUAUGAUACCGGCUCAGGACGAACGCUGGCGGCGUGGAUUAGGCAUGCAAGCCGAACGAGAAGUCGAGCUUCGGCUCGAUGGAAAGUGGCGAAAGGGUGAGUAACGCGUGGGUAAUUUGCCUCUGAGAUGGGGAUAACAACUCGAAAGGGUUGCUAAUACCAAAUACGAUUCGGUUGACUUCGGUCGGCCGAAUGAAAGGUGGCUUCGGCUGCCGCUCGGAGAUAAGCCCGCGUCCUAUUAGCUAGUUGGUGAGGUAACGGCUCACCAAGGCGACGAUGGGUAGCUGGUCUGAGAGGAUGGUCAGCCACAUUGGGACUGAGACACUGCCCAAACUCCUACGGGAGGCUGCAGUCGAGAAUAUUUCGCAAUGGGGGAAACCCUGACGAUGCGACGCCGCGUGGGGGAUGAAGGCCUUCGGGUUGUAAACCUCUGUGUUAUGGGAUGAAUUGGUCGUUGCCGAUAAAGCAACGUUUUUGACGUUACCAUAGUAGAAAGCCCCAGCUAACUACGUGCCAGCAGCUGCGGUAAUACGUAGGGGGCAAGCGUUGUCCGGAAUCACUGGGCGUAAAGCGCGCGUAGGCGGUGGAGUAAGUCAGACGUGAAAGGGUUCGGCUCAACCGAGCCAUUGCGUUUGAAACUGCCUCACUUGAGUCUAGAAGAGGAAAGUGGAAUGUAUGGUGUAGCGGUGGAAUGCUUAGAUAUCAUAUAGAACACCCGUGGCGAAGGCGGCUUUCUGGUCUAAGACUGACGCUCAUGCGCGAAAGUUUGGGGAGCAACCGGGAUUAGAUACCCCGCUAGUCCUUACUGUAAACGAUGGGUACUAAGUGUAGGGGGUGUUGAUUCCCUCUGUGCUGUAGCUAACGCAUUAAGUACCCCGCCUGGGGAGUACGGCCGCAAGGUUAAAACUCAAGGUAAUUGACGGGGGGCCGCACAAGCGGUGGAGCAUGUCGCUUAAUUCGAAGCAACGCGAAGAACCUUAUCCAGGGCUUGACAUCGCAGUGACCGCUAUAGAAAUAUAGUUUUCCUUCGGGACACUAUGACAGGUGCUGCAUGGCUGUCGUCAGCUCGUGUCGUGAGAUGUUGGGUUAAGU